rnacentral:rRNA from 1 species
GAUGAAUGCUGGCGGCGUGCCUAACACAUGCAAGUCGAGCGGUAACAGAUCUAGCUUGCUAGAUGCUGACGAGCGGCGGACGGCUGAGUAACGCGUGGGAACAUACCCCAAAGUGAGGGAUAACCGCCCGAAAGGGUGGCUAGUACCGCAUAUGGUCUUCGGAUUAAAGGGUUUAUCCGCUUUGGGAAUGGCCUGCGUACGAUUAGAUAGUUGGUGAGGUAAUGGCUUACCAAGUCUACGAUCGUUAACUGGUUUGAGAGGAUGAUCAGUCAGACUGGAACUGAGACACGGUCCAGACUCCUACGGGAGGCAGCAGUGAGGAAUCUUCCACAAUGGGCGAAAGCCUGAUGGAGCAACGCCGCGUGCAGGAUGAAGGCCUUCGGGUUGUAAACUGCUUUUAUAAGUGAAGAAUAUGACGGUAACUUAUGAAUAAGCACCGGCUAACUACGUGCCAGCAGCCGCCGUA